rnacentral:rRNA from 1 species
AUUGAACGCUGGCGGCAUGCUUUACACAUGCAAGUCGAACGGCAGCGCGGGCUUCGGCCUGGCGGCGAGUGGCGAACGGGUGAGUAAUACAUCGGAACGUGCCCAGUAGUGGGGGAUAGCUCGGCGAAAGCCGGAUUAAUACCGCAUACGACCUGAUGGUGAAACCAGGGGAUCUUCGGACCUCGCGCUAUUGGAGCGGCCUUUGGCCGAUUAGCUAGGUUGUUGGGUAAAGGCCUACCAAGGCGACGAUCUGUAGCUGGUCUGAGAGGACGACCAGCCACACUGGGAAUGAGGCACGGCCACGACUCCAAAGGGAGGCAGCAGUGAGGAAUUUUGGAGGAAGGGGGGAAGCCUAAUCGAGCAAUGGCGCGUGUGUGAUGCAGGCAUUCGGGUUGUAAAAAAACUUUGGUGGGAACGAAAAGGACUGUCACAAUACAACGAUUAGAUGACGGUACCCGCAGAAUAAGCAACGGCUAAAUACGUG